GCCUUCGUGGUGUAAUGGUCAGCACACUCGGUGCGUAUUCGAGAGGUCCGAGGUUCGAGUCCCGGUGAGGUCA
rfam:Stegodyphus mimosarum contig33013, whole genome shotgun sequence.